rnacentral:antisense_RNA from 1 species
UUACAUGUCUAGUCUGUGUGGUUGGUGGUGAAUAGGCUUCUUUUUACAUGGUGCUGCCAGCCCAGCUAAUUAAUGGUGCACGUGGACUUUUAGCAAGCGGGCUCACUGGAAGAGACUGAACCUGGCAUGGAAUUCCUGAAGAUGUUUGGGGUUUUUUUCUUUCUUAAUCGAAAGUUAACAUUGUCUGAAAAGUUUUGUUAGAACUACUGCGGAACCUCAAAAUCAGUAGAUUUGGAAGUGAUUCAAAGCUAAACUUUUUCCUUGGCCCUCCUUGUGUUCUAAUUGCUUGCAAGUGUAAUACUAGGAUGUCCAAGAUGCCAGUUUUUGCUUCUUUGUUAGUUGUCAGCUGCUUUUAUCAAAUUUCAGGCCAUUAUCCAACAAACACUAUAAAAAUGUUUGAACAAUUGGAUUUCAAACAUUUUCGUUUUGUGGAGUGGUGCUCACCAAGUGGUACAGCCCUAAGCAAGUGAACACAAACACAUUUAAGUGUAUUUUGUCUGAUUAGAUGUUAGCCAGUUAUGCUGUUUCAUUCAAAUGUCUGAAAAAAUCAAUUGACUAUUCCCUUUUCCUAAAGGGCAGAGACAGAUAAUCUCACUUCCAGAGAAAUGACUUGGAGAAAAAAAAGUGUUGGUCUUUUUGCUCUUUUGUAAUUAAAUCCGGAUGUACCUCAAAAGACUUAAGACUGUGGUGAUAAGAUGCUUUCCUCAGCAGAAAGGAGGGAAAAAAAACAACUGGAACUCAAAGCUUGAAAUUCUGUGGCAAAACAUGAGAUGUCCAGGAUUGGAGGUUGAAAAGAUUUCACUACAGUGUUCUGCAAUAGUUGGAGCAGAUAACUUCCAGUGUAGCCACAGCCAUGGACUCCAGAUUUCCAGAUUUUCAAGAACUGGACCUGGAACCCGAAAGAGCUUGUCAGGAUGCGGCAGGAACACUGGAGGUAGAUUUUUUUUUAUUUUUGAAUUUGGGGACUGUUGACCUUGCUGUGAGAAAAGAGACAACGACUGAGCAAGCACUACCACCAGCACUGUUACUGGGAAUUAGAAGACCUGAGUUUCUGUCCAGACCCUCAGUGCAAACUGAGGAUGCUCCAUCCAAAGUGAAUUAUGUCCUGUGCCUCCUGAUUGCUGAGUGUUCACCUGGACCUUCUGACUACCUUCCCUGUGCUAUUCCAUCAGCCUACAGACCUGGUACCUGGAUUUUUGCCCGAGAUGAUUCCUACCACCUUACUACUGAAGAAGACACCCAUUCCAGUGGACCACUGUGACCCAGGAGGCAUUCAGCCAUCAUGAUGUGGCCUUUACCUCCACUCCUGUCUUGUUCUACCCAGAUUCAGCACAGCCCUUUAUAGUGAAGUCAGAGUCCUCAAGCCAAAUAGCUAAAGCUGUUUUAUCACAACAAAGGCCUAGUUUGUUCCAUGAGUGUGCAUUUCAUUUCUUCAGUUAAAGCCUUCAGAGACACACAAUAAAUUUGGACCAGGGGAUUUUUUAGUUAUUAAUGCUCUCUGAAGAAAGGCAACAUCUUUUUGAGAGCAGCAUUGGACCACACCCCACAAUCUCAAAUGAUUGAAAUUCAUGAACAUCUAGGAUCCCGUGAAGGUCACUGGACCCUGUUUUUUCUACUUCAAAUCCUGUAGUAGCCUACUGAAUGAGAAAACAUAUUCUGACCCAUUGGGAUCAAAUCAAAGGCACAGUGAACUCCUCAUAGCAUCUUCUUUGGAAUUACUCAGGAACCAGAACUUUUUACACAAAUGUAAGAAAUUCUACCAAGGAGUCCCCUUACCUAACAGCAUCUCACAAGGCUGCACCAGAUUCCAGAAGAGGCUUCUCUUGAUACAUCAAGGUAGAACCUCUAUGCAUUUUGUGACCGACUUAUUCUUAGAUCAUUGGUUUUCCAAAGGCUUUGUGGCCAUGAAGCCCUUUGAGUGAAAACUGUGCAGAAGCCCAGAGUAAAAGUGAAGCUGCUCUGGAUGAAGUAGUGAAGCAAGAGUAGGGGCCUGAAUCCUGCUACAACUAUCUUCCUUUACCACCGUGGUGACACCUAAGGGGACUUCCUUACAACACCUUGAACUCUUCCGAACACAGUUUGAAAACCACUGCCCCAGACAGCAAUAUGUUUGACCUGAAUGGCAUUCCAAUCUUUUCUGUACCUCCACUCAGCACAGUUCAUGUUCAGUAGAUGCUGAACAUUCUUAGAAAUACUGUGUGUGAACUUAGAAAAGUGCAAGAAGACAGGCAUGUCUUUGACCCCAGAAAUGAUCAUGGGCUGAAGAUGGUGUCAAGUGAACCUAGAUUAACAGCCCUCCACUCCAGAUGGAUAUCCAGUGAUUCCUAGAAUGGGAUAUAGCCAGAGAACAAUUCUAUGCACCCUACACUGACAGACUCCCUUAAGCAACACCAGAUGCUCUACUGGUACUUGAAGUACAUGACUUUGAAGUCUUGACCCUCCAUGAAUACCUGAAUUAUCAGCAAGCGGGUUUUGAAGCUGGUGCCUCAUUGAGGCCAUAUUAGAGCAACUUGUACAUUUGACCUCUUGUUAUCAGCCAUGGUACUCUACUUCGUGUGCAAGAGAUAACUAUGAAAGCCAAAUUCAAAUACUGGCAACAUUUCCUAAAGGGGCUCAAUAUCUAUCAUUCAUCUUCUUUUCCAAACUACACAUCACUGUAUGACUCAACCAGUAGCAGUUAUAUUGCCCCUUGGUUUUUAUUCAGUUUAACUACUGUUUCCAAGAUAAAUGAGCUAAUAAGCUUU